AACGAACGCUGGCGGCAUGCCUAACACAUGCAAGUCGAACGAGACCUUCGGGUCUAGUGGCGCACGGGUGCGUAACGCGUGGGAACCUGCCCUUAGGUUCGGAAUAACUCCCCGAAAGGGGUGCUAAUACCGGAUAAUGUCUUCGGACCAAAGAUUUAUCGCCUUUGGAUGGGCCCGCGUUGGAUUAGCUAGUUGGUAGGGUAAAAGCCUACCAAGGCGACGAUCCAUAGCUGGUCUGAGAGGAUGAUCAGCCACACUGGGACUGAGACACGGCCCAGACUCCUCGGGGGGGCCGGAGUGGGAAUUAUUGAACAAUGGGCGAAAGCCUGCUCCACCAAUGCCGCGUGAGUGAUGAAGGCCUUAGGGUUGUAAAGCUCUUUUACCCGGGAUGAAAAUGCCGGGCCCGGGAAAAAAGGCCCCGGCAAACCCCGU
rnacentral:rRNA from 1 species